rnacentral:rRNA from 1 species
CGUAGGGUGCGAGCGUUGUCCGGAAUUAUUGGGCGUAAAGGGCUCGUAGGCGGUUUGUCGCGUCGGGAGUGAAAACCAGGUGCUUAACACCUGGCUUGCUUUCGGUACGGGCAGACUAGAGGUAUUCAGGGGAGAACGGAAUUCCUGGUGUAGCGGUGAAAUGCGCAGAUAUCAGGAGGAACACCGGCGGCGAAGGCGGUUCUCUGGGAAUGACCUGACGCUGAGGAGCGAAAGUGUGGGGAGCGAACAGGAUUAGAUACCCUGGUAGUCCACACCGUAAACGUUGGGCGCUAGGUGUGGGGUCCAUUCCACGGAUUCCGUGCCGCAGCUAACGCAUUAAGCGCCCCGCCUGGGGAGUACGGCCGCAAGGCUA